GCAUAUCAAUAAGCGGAGGAAAAGAAACCAACCGGGAUUACCUCAGUAACGGCGAGUGAAGCGGUAACAGCUCAAAUUUGAAAUCUGGCCUCGGCCCGAGUUGUAAUUUGUAGAAGAUGCUUCGGGUGUGGCUCCGGUCUAAGUUCCUUGGAACAGGACGUCAUAGAGGGUGAGAAUCCCGUAUGUGACUGGGUGCCUCCGCCUGUGUGAAGCUCUUUCGACGAGUCGAGUUGUUUGGGAAUGCAGCUCAAAAUGGGUGGUAUAUUUCAUCUAAAGCUAAAUAUUGGCCAGAGACCGAUAGCGCACAAGUAGAGUGAUCGAAAGAUGAAAAGCACUUUGGAAAGAGAGUUAAACAGUACGUGAAAUUGUUGAAAGGGAAGCGUUUGCAACCAGACUUGCGCGCUGCCGAUCAUCCGGUGUUCUCACCGGUGCACUCGGUUGCGUUCAGGCCAGCAUCGGUUUGGGUGGCUGGAUAAAGGCCUUGGGAAUGUAGCUUCUUUCGGGGAGUGUUAUAGCCCUGGGUGCAAUGCAGCCUACCUGGACCGAGGACCGCGCUUCGGCUAGGAUGCUGGCGUAAUGGUUGUAAACGACCCGUCUUGAAACACGGACCAAGGAGUCUAACAUCUAUGCGAGUAUUUGGGUGUCAAACCCAUCUGCGCAAUUAACGUGAACGGAGGUAAGAGCCUUUAAAGGUGCAUUAUCGACCGGUCCUGAUGUCUUCGGACGGAUCUGAGUAAGAGCAUAGCUGUUAGGACCCGAAAGAUGGUGAACUAUACUUGAAUAGGGUGAAGCCAGAGGAAACUCUGGUGGAGGCUCGCAGCGGUUCUGACGUGCAAAUCGAUCGUCAAAUUUGGGUAUAGGGGCGAAAGACUAAUCGAACCAUCUAGUAGCUGGUUCCUGCCGA
rnacentral:rRNA from 1 species